UUAAGCGACUAAGCGUACACGGUGGAUGCCCUGGCAGUCAGAGGCGAUGAAGGACGUGCUAAUCUGCGAAAAGCGUCGGUAAGGUGAUAUGAACCGUUAUAACCGGCGAUGUCCGAAUGGGGAAACCCAGUGCAAUUCGUUGCACUAUCGUUAACUGAAUACAUAGGUUAACGAGGCGAACCGGGGGAACUGAAACAUCUAAGUACCCCGAGGAAAAGAAAUCAACCGAGAUUCCCCCAGUAGCGGCGAGCGAACGGGGAGCAGCCCAGAGUCUGAAUCAGCUUGUGUGUUAGUGGAACGGUCUGGAAAGUCCGACGGUACAGGGUGAUAGUCCCGUACACCAAAAUGCACAGGUUGUGAACUCGAAGAGUAGGGCGGGACACGUGUUAUCCUGUCUGAAUAUGGGGGGACCAUCCUCCAAGGCUAAAUACUCCUGACUGACCGAUAGUGAACCAGUACCGUGAGGGAAAGGCGAAAAGAACCCCGGCGAGGGGAGUGAAAAAGAACCUGAAACCGUGUACGUACAAGCAGUGGGAGCACCUUCGGGUGUGACUGCGUACCUUUUGUAUAAUGGGUCAGCGACUUAUAUUCUGUAGCAAGGUUAACCGUAUAGGGGAGCCGCAGGGAAACCGAGUCUUAACUGGGCGUUAAGUUGCAGGGUAUAGACCCGAAACCCGGUGAUCUAGCCAUGGGCAGGUUGAAGGUUGGGUAACACUAACUGGAGGACCGAACCGACUAAUGUUGAAAAAUUAGCGGAUGACUUGUGGCUGGGGGUGAAAGGCCAAUCAAACCGGGAGAUAGCUGGUUCUCCCCGAAAGCUAUUUAGGUAGCGCCUCGUGAAUUCAUCUUCGGGGGUAGAGCACUGUUUCGGCUAGGGGGUCAUCCCGACUUACCAACCCGAUGCAAACUACGAAUACCGAAGAAUGUUAUCACGGGAGACACACGGCGGGUGCUAACGUCCGUCGUGAAGAGGGAAACAACCCAGACCGCCAGCUAAGGUCCCAAAGUCAUGGUUAAGUGGGAAACGAUGUGGGAAGGCACAGACAGCCAGGAUGUUGGCUUAGAAGCAGCCAUCAUUUAAAGAAAGCGUAAUAGCUCACUGGUCGAGUCGGCCUGCGCGGAAGAUGUAACGGGGCUAAACCAUGCACCGAAGCUGCGGCAGCGACACUAUGUGUUGUUGGGUAGGGGAGCGUUCUGUAAGCCUGCGAAGGUGACCUGUGAGGGUUGCUGGAGGUAUCAGAAGUGCGAAUGCUGACAUAAGUAACGAUAAAGCGGGUGAAAAGCCCGCUCGCCGGAAGACCAAGGGUUCCUGUCCAACGUUAAUCGGGGCAGGGUGAGUCGACCCCUAAGGCGAGGCCGAAAGGCGUAGUCGAUGGGAAACAGGUUAAUAUUCCUGUACUUGGUGUUACUGCGAAGGGGGGACGGAGAAGGCUAUGUUAGCCGGGCGACGGUUGUCCCGGUUUAAGCAUGUAGGCUGGUUAUCCAGGCAAAUCCGGAUAAUCAAGGCUGAGGUGUGAUGACGAGGCACUACGGUGCUGAAGUAACAAAUGCCCUGCUUCCAGGAAAAGCCUCUAAGCAUCAGGUAACAUCAAAUCGUACCCCAAACCGACACAGGUGGUCAGGUAGAGAAUACCAAGGCGCUUGAGAGAACUCGGGUGAAGGAACUAGGCAAAAUGGUGCCGUAACUUCGGGAGAAGGCACGCUGGUGUGUAGGUGAAGCCCCUGCGGGUGGAGCUGAGACCAGUCGAAGAUACCAGCUGGCUGCAACUGUUUAUUAAAAACACAGCACUGUGCAAACACGAAAGUGGACGUAUACGGUGUGACGCCUGCCCGGUGCCGGAAGGUUAAUUGAUGGGGUUAUCCGUAAGGAGAAGCUCUUGAUCGAAGCCCCGGUAAACGGCGGCCGUAACUAUAACGGUCCUAAGGUAGCGAAAUUCCUUGUCGGGUAAGUUCCGACCUGCACGAAUGGCGUAAUGAUGGCCAGGCUGUCUCCACCCGAGACUCAGUGAAAUUGAACUCGCUGUGAAGAUGCAGUGUACCCGCGGCAAGACGGAAAGACCCCGUGAACCUUUACUAUAGCUUGACACUGAACAUUGAGCCUUGAUGUGUAGGAUAGGUGGGAGGCUUUGAAGCGUGGACGCCAGUCUGCGUGGAGCCAACCUUGAAAUACCACCCUUUAAUGUUUGAUGUUCUAACGUUGGCCCCUGACCGGGGUUGCGGACAGUGUCUGGUGGGUAGUUUGACUGGGGCGGUCUCCUCCCAAAGCGUAACGGAGGAGCACGAAGGUUAGCUAAUCCUGGUCGGACAUCAGGAGGUUAGUGCAAUGGCAUAAGCUAGCUUGACUGCGAGCGUGACGGCGCGAGCAGGUGCGAAAGCAGGUCAUAGUGAUCCGGUGGUUCUGAAUGGAAGGGCCAUCGCUCAACGGAUAAAAGGUACUCCGGGGAUAACAGGCUGAUACCGCCCAAGAGUUCAUAUCGACGGCGGUGUUUGGCACCUCGAUGUCGGCUCAUCACAUCCUGGGGCUGAAGUAGGUCCCAAGGGUAUGGCUGUUCGCCAUUUAAAGUGGUACGCGAGCUGGGUUUAGAACGUCGUGAGACAGUUCGGUCCCUAUCUGCCGUGGGCGCUGGAGAAUUGAGGGGGGCUGCUCCUAGUACGAGAGGACCGGAGUGGACGCAUCACUGGUGUUCGGGUUGUCAUGCCAAUGGCACUGCCCGGUAGCUAAAUGCGGAAGAGAUAAGUGCUGAAAGCAUCUAAGCACGAAACUUGCCCCGAGAUGAGUUCUCCCUGAGACUUUAAGUCUCCUGAAGGAACGUUAAAGACGAUGACGUUGAUAGGCCGGGUGUGUAAGCGCAGCGAUGCGUUGAGCUAACCGGUACUAAUGAACCGUGAGGCUUAACCUU
rnacentral:rRNA from 1 species